GGAUUGUGGCUCAGUGGUAGAGCACUCCCCUAGUAUAUGUGAGGCCCUGGGUUCGAUCCUCAGUACCA
rnacentral:tRNA from 1 species